CCUACGGGAGGCUGCAGUGGGGAAUAUUGCACAAUGGGCGCAAGCCUGAUGCAGCCAUGCCGCGUGUGUGAAGAAGGCCUUCGGGUUGUAAAGCACUUUCAGCGGGGAGGAAGGCGGUGAGGUUAAUAACCUCAUCGAUUGACGUUACCCGCAGAAGAAGCACCGGCUAACUCCGUGCCAGCAGCCGCGGUAAUACGGAGGGUGCAAGCGUUAAUCGGAAUUACUGGGCGUAAAGCGCACGCAGGCGGUCUGUCAAGUCGGAUGUGAAAUCCCCGGGCUCAACCUGGGAACUGCAUUCGAAAGUGGCAGGCUAGGGGCUGGUAGAGGGGGUAGAAUUCCAGGUGUAGCGGUGAAAUGCGUAGAGAUCUGGAGGAAUACCGGUGGCGAAGGCGGCCCCCUGGACAAAGACUGACGCUCAGGUGCGAAAGCGUGGGGAGCAAACAGGAUUAGAUACCCGGGUAGUC
rnacentral:rRNA from 1 species